GGUUACUGCGAUCGGUGUUCGCAUAAGCCAUGCGAGUCAUAUGUUCUUCGGAACAUGGCGUACUGCUCAGUAACACGUGGAUAACCUGCCCUUGGGUCCGGCAUAACCCCGGGAAACUGGGGAUAAUUCCGGAUAACGCACAUAUGCUGGAAUGCUUUAUGCGUCAAAUGGAUUCGUCCGCCCAAGGAUGGGUCUGCGGCCUAUCAGGUAGUAGUGGGUGUAAUGUACCUACUAGCCUACGACGGGUACGGGUUGUGAGAGCAAGAGCCCGGAGAUGGAUUCUGAGACAUGAAUCCAGGCCCUACGGGGCGCAGCAGGCGCGAAAACUUUACAAUGCGGGAAACCGUGAUAAGGGGACACCGAGUGCCAGCAUCAUAUGCUGGCUGUCCGGGUGUGUAAAAUACACCUGUUAGCAAGGGCCGGGCAAGACCGGUGCCAGCUGCCGCGGUAACACCGGCGGCCCGAGUGGUGAUCGUGAUUAUUGGGUCUAAAGGGUCCGUAGCCGGUUUGGUCAGUCCUCCGGGAAAUCUGACGGCUUAACCGUUAGGCUUUCGGGGGAUACUGCCAGACUUGGAACCGGGAGAGGUAAGAGGUACUACAGGGGUAGGAGUGAAAUCUUGUAAUCCCUGUGGGACCACCUGUGGCGAAGGCGUCUUACCAGAACGGGUUCGACGGUGAGGGACGAAAGCUGGGGGCACGAACCGGAUUAGAUACCCGGGUAGUCCCAGCCGUAAACGAUGCUCGCUAGGUGUCAGGCAUGGCGCGACCGUGUCUGGUGCCGCAGGGAAGCCGUGAAGCGAGCCACCUGGGAAGUACGGCCGCAAGGCUGAAACUUAA
rnacentral:rRNA from 1 species